rnacentral:rRNA from 1 species
GACGAACGCUGGCGGCGUGCUUAACACAUGCAAGUCGAACGAAGAGCGAUAGAAGCUUGCUUCUAUCAAUCUUAGUGGCGAACGGGUGAGUAACGCGUAAUCAACCUGCCCUUCAGAGGGGGACAACAGUUGGAAACGACUGCUAAUACCGCAUACGAUCUAAUCUCGGCAUCGAGGAUAGAUGAAAGGUGGCCUCUACAUGUAAGCUAUCACUGAAGGAGGGGAUUGCGUCUGAUUAGCUAGUUGGAGGGGUAACGGCCCACCAAGGCGAUGAUCAGUAGCCGGUCUGAGAGGAUGAACGGCCACAUUGGGACUGAGACACGGCCCAGACUCCUACGGGAGGCAGCAGUGGGGAAUCUUCCGCAAUGGACGAAAGUCUGACGGAGCAACGCCGCGUGAGUGAUGACGGCCCUCGGGUUGUAAAGCUCUGUUAAUCGGGACGAAAGGCCUUCUUGCGAAUAGUGAGAAGGAUUGACGGUACCGGAAUAGAAAGCCACGGCUAACUACGUG